AAUAAUAUGUCAAAUUUAAAGAGUUUCCCAAGUUCAAUUAAUACAAUAUUAUAAACAUACAAAUGUAAUAAAAAUUAUUGUUCGCGAAUAUUCAAUUUGGAAUGCGAUUUUGUUAAUAAAAAAAAAUACUUAUAACUUAUGCAAAACCCAAGAGAGGCAUUUAUAUUUAUUUCUUUUGCGUUCAUUUUCAAAUUCGCCGUGCAUAUAUUUUUGUGCAUGGCGCUUGAGAGGGCAUCACGUGACUAAAAACGACCAACCAACGACCUCGCUUCGGCCAUCUUGGCAUCUUCAUCUUGGCCACCUUGCUUUGCCGUGGGUGGAUCGUUAUUUCUAUUAUUUGUGCUUUUUAAGAAUAUUUUUUUAAUUCGGAUACUUUUAUAAUAGCUUUAAUAGUAUUAUUAACAUAGUGAAUAAAAUGGUGUCCUGUUUUUAACGCAGUUGGAGUAGCAGAAACAAAUGUAGAUAAAAAAAUCUGCAGGAAUAACGUUUCAAUUAUGACAGAAGCUCCAAACAAAUGACUGUGAAUGAAAAGCCCUAUUAAAAGCUUUCCAGAAGAUCCUGCGAAGAAGACAUGAAGUAUAGAUCAGAUUUGUUAAUAGAGGAGUAUGUUCAAAACACUUUUUAGAAAAAGAUAUUGACAGAACUUCACUUUCAUCUGUUCGUUUAAGAGACUGUGCUGUUCCAAUAGCUUAUGUCACACAGAAUCAGCUGAGAGAAGUGGUCUACAAAAAACCAGAAAGGAAACAGAAUAUGUGGCUACGAAAAGCAAAAGAAAGGUUUACAAAGCAAAUGUGACACAUUUUUUUAUAAUAUUUAGGAAUGUCAGUAAAUUACAUUAAAAAAUGUAUGUAAAGAUUUUUUGCAAUAAAAAUGUUUAUAUUUA